GACGAACGCUGGCGGCGUGCUUAACACAUGCAAGUCGAACGGAAAGGCCCUGCUUUUGUUGGGUGCUCGAGUGGCGAGCGGGUGAGUAACACGUGAGUAACCUGCACUUGACUUUGGGAUAACUUCAGGAAACUGGGGCUAAUACCGCGUAGGAUAUCCUGAUGCAUGGUGGUGGUUGGAAAGUUUCGGCUGUUGUGGAUUGUCUCGCGGCUUAUCAGCUUGAUUGUGGGGUAGUGGCUUACAAAGGUUUUGACGGGUAGCCGGCCUGGGCGGGUGACCGGCCACAAUGGGACUGAGAUACGGACCAGACUCCUACGGUAGGCAGCAGUGGGGAAUAUUGCACAAUGGGCGGAAGCCUGAUGCAGCAACGCCGCGUGCGGAAUGACGGCCUUCGGGUUGUAAACCGCUGUCGCCUGUGACGAAGCGUGAGUGACGGUAAUGGGUAAAGAAGCACCGGCUAACUACGUG
rnacentral:rRNA from 1 species